rnacentral:rRNA from 1 species
CCUACGGGAGGCAGCAGUGAGGAAUAUUGGUCAAUGGACGAGAGUCUGAACCAGCCAAGUAGCGUGAAGGAUGACUGCCCUAUGGGUUGUAAACUUCUUUUAUAUGGGAAUAAAACGUUCCACGUGUGGGAUUUUGUAUGUACCAUAUGAAUAAGGAUCGGCUAACUACGUGCCAGCAGCCGCGGUAAUACGGAGGAUCCGAGCGUUAUCCGGAUUUAUUGGGUUUAAAGGGAGCGUAGGUGGAUUGUUAAGUCAGUUGUGAAAGUUUGCGGCUCAACCGUAAAAUUGCAGUUGAAACUGGCAGUCUUGAGUACAGUAGAGGUGGGCGGAAUUCGUGGUGUAGCGGUGAAAUGCUUAGAUAUCACGAAGAACUCCGAUUGCGAAGGCAGUUCACUGGACUGCAACUGACACUGAGGCUCGAAAGUGUGGGUAUCAAACAGGAUUAGAUACCCUAGUAGUC